AUCACUGAGAAUCUAAAUUAUUUAAGGCAUUCAUUAUUUUUUAAAGAUGAAUAACUCUCGUUCAUCUCUCUGUGAUUCUCAUGUGGGUUUCCUGAAUAAAGACCGUUAGUUCUUUACAGCUGAACUUAACUUCAGACUCUGAACCUUCAGCUCAUCUCUGUGGUUGUUGAUCAAGAAUUAAAACAACCUGUUCAUCAAACACAAUACACAGUAUUUGUAAGCAGGUGUGUCCAGGCUGUGACCUCAACCUGCUCUAACACACUUGUCUAGAAAUCCUAAAGACCUUGAUUAGCUGGUUCAGGUGUGUUUAAUUAGGAUUGGAGCUAAACUCUGUAAGAUAGUGGCCUUCUGAGGGCACAUCUACACUCUUUUUCUCUGCACUUUGCCUUCCGUCUACACCGAGACAGAGAUUUUAUCCUGUGAGCUUUUCCUUAGUAGAUACAUUUGAAAAUGGCGUUCUCACAUUGUACUGUGAAAAUGGAAGUAUCUGAAAACGAUGUUGUACCAAGAGAUAUCUGUGCCUGGUAUGUGCUAUUCACGCUGUUGCUGAAGAUGAUAUAGUGACUCGCUACAUCUUUACCAGCAAUCCAAAAAGCUGCUAGAUUUGUCGAUAAUGGCUUUUUUGAAAUAUAGUCACUGAAGGAGUUUGAAAAGUCACUAAUCUGGCGACAAAGACGCUAAGUUGGCAACAUUUCUUCUGUUGAGAACUCACCAGACUGGACUGAAGCAUAUGUUUCCUCUUGAGUUUCCAAAGUCAUCCACAAAUGAAAGAAAUACACCCCAGCAUCAUGUCUGCUAAUGUUCACGAUAGUCACAGUAAAGACUUGCUCCUGUUUGUUCUCAUACAGAGAAAAUCUAGGAUCGAUUGCACCUCCAAUUGUUAAACAAGAUUGUAAUGAUGCAUUCUGG